rnacentral:rRNA from 1 species
GUUGACCUCGGAUCAGGUAGGAAUACCCGCUGAACUUAAGCAUAUCAAUAACGGAAAGAA